CUGGUCCUGUCUGCCAUGGCCUAUGGUAGGUCUGAUGACAUUUGUGUCUUUGUCCUCACAGGCUCCUUCAUCCAGGCUUUCCAUGUUGCUUCCCAUCGCCUGAUCCAAGAAUCUGGCAUCAUUUUCCCUUGUCACAGAGGGAUUUAUAACUUACAUUAUACCUCACAUCACCGUUUGUUCUCCUCCAACGUGGGGAACGUAAGUAUGUCUUCCCAGGCCUGAUGUUGAGUUCUUCCUUCACAAGGCCAGCAGCCCAGGAAUUUCUCUAUGACCAAUGCCCACAAUAGGGGCAUGUGCACAAGGAAACCUUGGUCGUCAUGGAGCUCCUGGUGACAGCCAGUGGUGCAGUGUGAACACUGGUGAGUGUGGGGUCUGAAUUGUUUUCCAGGACACAUUCCAGGUAGGGAGCAGCUCGCUGAGUUGCAACGGGAAACUGAACUCAGUUGGUACUCCAGGGCCCUAUCUGUGAGCAUCAUCCCCUGAAGGUAAGAUUGAGUGCAGUGAGUAUCUGUGUGUGGUAGAAGAGGAGUUUCUGAAGCCUGGUCCUGAUGUCAUGAAGAAAAGGAUCUCAUGAGGUGGCCUCUGCCAGACUCCUAACACAGAGGGAAAGUUACCAUUGUCUCGCUUGAUGGAAGAGCAAGGGGCAGCUGAGAGACUGCGGAGGUGUGGCAAGGGAGGAACCAUCUUCUCUUUUGUACUUGGCAUCCGGCUUCCAUCCUGAGCAUCUGAACUUUUAGCAAACUCUGGUGAAUAUUGAAGUUUUGGCCAGAUCUUCAUCCCAGCAGGACAAGAGUCAGCUUGUGUUGUCAAGUACUUUCUAGAACCCUGAUCAUCUGGUGAGUCCCACGUACACAGAACAAGAAGCAGCUUGCUUAUGGGGUGAGAGCUACUUUUAGUUUGUGGGCAUCAACUGGGAUCAGGUCUUGUUUCUGUUGCUUAUCAGUGAAGCCAGGGCUGUGAAAUGGUUGAGGGUUUUGUUGAAUUCUGCAAAUGAGAUAGGGAAAUUUUAUGAAUCUACAUUUAAAAUUUAUGUUUUAUGACUGGAUCUCACUGUUUAUUCCUGGCUGUCCUGAGACUCUCCAUGUAGGGUAUACAGAUCUCCAACCCAUAGAGAUCGACCAUAUACCCUGCCUCCUGAGUGCUGAGAUUACAGAUGUACACUUCCACUCCUGGCUUCAAGAGUUGUAUGGCAUCAAUGGUAAGUUCCUCCAAACAGCUGAUGCAGAAUCGUUCCAGUUCUGUGCUUUUUUCAUCUUGAUAGAGUCAGGAUUGAACUGAAGAUACUUUCAUUCAGGAUGGACUAGAAACAAUGGGCAAAGUCCAAACCUAACCUUCAGAAUAGAAGUUUAUGUCCAGUAUUAACAGACACCUGGAUGUAAGGAAUGCCAUCAGGAGUUCUUCUGUGGACACAAAAUCUCCACCUGAAGUCUUCGCACAAGUCAUAUGACUUCACACUGACCAAUCAGCAGAGUCCAGAUCGGUUUCCUGGUAUGAUUGGUUGAGUUCUGUCCAUUUGGGCCAUGAGAACAUGGCUGAGGACUCAAGGUUUGUCACUGAGACACUGGGCUCCUGUCUUGGGAUGUGAAGUCAGAGCUUUCACUCUAAGGACACCAGUGCUAGAGGCAGCACAUGAAGCCACACAUUCUAAAUAGGAGCUUCCAGUCCUACUCAUCAAACACACAGAGAGAAUCCACUUGGCUGCUGGCUUCCACGGCUAAUGGGGGUCCCAGAGCUGCCGGAGUCCUGAUACUGAACCAGCUAGGACGCUGAAGCACACGCUGGACUCUCUGUGAGGACCUCCAGAUUUUCCAUAUGAGAGAAAACAGACCUCUUUGACUUUUGGGACUUGCUUGUCACACAUAAUGAAGCAAUAUUAAGACACACAUCAAUUAUGGAAAAUGUCAAAAUUUUACUCUUGCUGCUGAGCAUGUGCUCUUUCCCCAUAUCUUCAGAUAGUUACGUCAUCAUUUUUUAUUUCAUCAAUUUUUUAUACUUGAAACUGUCAUCUGUCUUUUGCAAUUGGCCCGUUAACUUGUUUCCCCGUAUGUGUAAGUAAAUUUCCAAAUCUGACCUCAAAAUCUCCAGUCCCACAGUUCUUCCUGCUUCUAAGUAAAGUGACAUAGUUGAGCUGGAGAUGGGGACAAGAGGAUGAGAGACAGAGGCUGCAGAGGCAGCAGGAAAGAGUUUGCAGAGGGAGGAAUGUGGAUGGGGUGGAAGAGACAGAGGGGAGGAGCCAUGGGGAGAGGGAAGCUCAGUGGGUAAGGAGAGUGGAGACUGAGAGCUGUUCGUUUCAGAUUCCCUCAGAGCCCCUCCCACGGGUCCUUCCUGUUUAAAGUGAUGAGCUCUGUACAUCAGGAGACACCGGGUGGAGAUUGCAAGUGUGGCCUGAGACUCAGAAGCAGGAGCCCUGUGGGAAUUUCAGAUGGCAGGGUGCCCACUUACCCAGCAUAAAGGGUCUCUGUCCAGCAGAAGAGGAGGAAAGUGACCAUCGGCUGGAUGAAAAUGGACAUCACUUUGGAAUAUUGAAACAUUGUUCCGCUUUGGAACCAGGAGCAUGAUGAAAUGGAGCUGCUUCCUCCUCUGCGGUUGGCUGAUCAGUGAGUGGCCACUAAGGCAAGUCAGUCCUGAUGUACUCUACUGUCACCAGUGCCUGGGCAAGGGACACUUGGGGACUGUAAACAGGUCAC